CAGCCGCCGCGGGAAUACAGAGGAUGGAAGCGUUAUCCGAAAUGAUUGGGCGUAAGCGUCUGUAGGUGGCUUUUCAAGUCCGCCGUCAAAUCCCAGGGCUCAACCCUGGACAGGCGGUGGAAACUACCAAGCUGGAGUACGGUAGGGGCAGAGGGAAUUUCCAGUGGAGCGGUGAAAUGCGUGGAUAUUCGGAAGAACACCAGUGGCGAAGGCGACACACUGGCUCAUUACUGACGCUGAGGCUCGAAAGCGUGGGGAGCAAACAGGAUUAGAUACCCCAGUAGUCCCUGUCUCUUAUACA
rnacentral:rRNA from 1 species